rnacentral:tRNA from 1 species
GCGGGUGUAGCUCAGUGGUAGAGCGCCACCUUGCCAAGGUGGAAGUCGACGGUUCGAGCCCGUUCACCCGCUCCA